rnacentral:rRNA from 1 species
AUUGAACGCUGGCGGCAGGCUUAACACAUGCAAGUCGAGCGGAGAUGAGGUGCUUGCACCUUAUCUUAGCGGCGGACGGGUGAGUAAUGCUUAGGAAUCUGCCUAUUAGUGGGGGACAACAUUCCGAAAGGAAUACUAAUACCGCAUACGUCCUACGGGAGAAAGCAGGGGAUCUUCGGACCUUGCGCUAAAUGAUGAGCCUAAGUCGGAUUAGCUAGUUGGUGGGUAAAGGCCUACCAAGGCGACGAUCUGUAGCGGGUCUGAGAGGAUGAUCCGCCACACUGGGACUGAGACACGGCCCCGACUCCUCCGGGAGGCCGCAGUGCGGAAUAUUGGCCAAUGGGCGGAAGCCUGAUCCAGCCAUGACGCGUGUGUGAAGAAGGCCUUUUGGUUGUAAAGCUCUUUAAGCGAGGAGGAGGCUACCUGGAUUAAUACUCUAGGAUAGUGGACGUUACUCGCAGAAUAAGCACCGGCUAACUCUGUGCCAGCCGCCGCGGUAACAC